GCUGAUGGUGGAAGGAGAAUGAGUCUCUGAUGACUUUGGACUUGAUGCUGGAAAGACUUAAGACUUUGGGGGACUACUGGAAAGGAGUGACUUCUCCCCAGAUUUUUGUAUACCUGACUCUGUUUCAGCAUCCGCUUCCCAAAGAAUGCAGUGUGAAGCAGGAGCUUAUGUGAGAAGAAACGCAGGGAGACAGUUCAGUCACUGCAAUCUUCAUGCCCAUCAGUUUCUUGUGAGAAGAAAACAAGUGGAUAUACACUGUUCCAAGCAGCAUGUGUUGAAAAGAUUUGUCUUUUCCCCAUUAAAUGGUCUUGGUACCUUUCUCAAAAAUUGACCAUAUAUGA
rnacentral:lncRNA from 10 species